UACGGAGGGUGCGAGCGUUGUCCGGAAUCACUGGGCGUAAAGGGCGCGUAGGCGGCUUCUCAAGCGUGUGGUGAAAGUCCGGGGCUCAACCCCGGAUCGGCCGUGCGGACUGGGGAGCUCGAGUUCUGUAGAGGCAGGUGGAAUUCCUGGUGUAGCGGUGGAAUGCGCAGAUAUCAGGAGGAACACCGGUGGCGAAGGCGGGUCUCUGGGCAGUAACUGACGCUGAGGAGCGAAAGCGUGGGGAGCGAACAGG
rnacentral:rRNA from 1 species